rnacentral:rRNA from 1 species
UACGGAGGGUGCGAGCGUUGUCCGGAAUCACUGGGCGUAAAGGGCGCGUAGGCGGCCUGAUAAGUAGGGGGGUGAAAUCCUGCGGCUUAACCGCAGGGCUGCCUUCUAAACUGUCAGGCUAGAGCACAGUAGAGGCAGGUGGAAUUCCCGGUGUAGCGGUGAAAUGCGCAGAUAUCAGGAGGAACACCGGUGGCGAAGGCGGCAUCCUGGACCGAGAUUGACGCUGAGGCGCGAAAGCCAGGGGAGCAAACGGG